GAAAUGCGAUAAUUGAUGUGAAUUGCAGAAUUCAGUGAAUCAUCGAGUCUUUGAACGCACAUUGCGCCCCCUGGUAUUCCGGGGGGCAUGCCUGUCCGAGCGUCAUUGCUGCCCUCAAGCACGGCUUGUGUGUUGGGCUUCCGUCCCUGGCAACGGGGACGGGCCCAAAAGGCAGUGGCGGCACCAUGUCUGGUCCUCGAGCGUAUGGGGCUUUGUCACCCGCUCCCGUAGGUCCAGCUGGCAGCUAGCCUCGCAACCAAUCUUUUUAACCAGGUUGACCUCGGAUCAGGUAGGGAUACCCGCUGAACUUAAGC
rnacentral:misc_RNA from 1 species